rnacentral:lncRNA from 1 species
GAAGGAGGCCUGCAGGGGAGGCAAACACAGACACUCCUGGCACCGGAGGAAACACCGAGUCACUCGCACGCCUGUGAGGGGUCCUGGCUAUGUAUAGCUGCGAGUACUUCGGGAGGGGAGGUGGCCACAGUAUCCACUUCCUCAGAUAAUACCCUCCUCGUGGGAAGGCACAGCCUGAAGGAUGGUAAACAUUAAGUCAAUAUUCCAAGGUAAAACCUCUUUCAGUGUCAUUCGCAGGCAGCAGACGGCUCCAACAGCUCCAGGCUUACUCCCACCACAGCAGAAGCCUCAUCCCACUAGUUCCUGCACAGUUUCCAGUGCUGAUCGAGCCUUCCUGAGCCACACGUCCACUUCCGAUGCAAGUGAUACACAGAUACAGUCUGGUCCUGAGAUACACGACUCUCAUGAGCCCAAGGUCACAAGGACUGAGUUAGCUAUGGGUGAAUCCGAGGAAAAAGCCAGGUGCUGCUACCAGAAGAAACAAGAGAUGUCCACCGUACGCCAUCACUGGUCAUAUUAA